rnacentral:rRNA from 1 species
UACGUAGGGGGCAAGCGUUGCCGGAAUCUUGGGCGUAAAGCGCGUGUAGGCGGGUUCCGUAAGUCUGCUGUGAAAGUCGGAGGCUCAACCUUCGAAAGCCGGUGGAUACUGUGGAACUAGAGUGCGGAAGAGGCAAGUGGAAUUCCUGGUGUAGCGGUGGAAAUGCGCAGAUAUCAGGAGGAACACCAACGGCGAAGGCAGCUGCUGGGACUUACUGACGCUG